CGGGGCGUGGCGCAGCCUGGUAGCGCACCUGCUUGGGGUGCAGGGGGUCGUGGGUUCAAAUCCCGCCGUCCCGA
rnacentral:tRNA from 1 species